GGGACUAUAGUUAAUAAUAACAUUUGAGUUGCAUUCAAAAGGUACUACCUACAAUAGUUAGCCUCA
rnacentral:tRNA from 1 species